CGUGCGCGGCCGAAGGGGAAGCGGAGCCGGCGCCGGCUGCGCAGAGGAGCCGCUCUCGCCGCCGCCACCUCGGCUGGGAGCCCACGAGGCUGCCGCAUCCUGCCCUCGGAACAAUGGGACUCGGCGCGCGAGGUGCUUGGGCCGCGCUGCUCCUGGGGACGCUGCAGGUGCUAGCGCUGCUGGGGGCCGCCCAUGAAAGCGCAGCCAUGGCGGCAUCUGCAAACAUAGAGAAUUCUGGGCUUCCACACAACUCCAGUGCUAACUCAACAGACUCUCCAACAUGUGCCUUCUGACCAUACAAAUGAAACUUCCAACAGUACUGUGAAACCACCAACUUCAGUUGCCUCAGACUCCAGUAAUACAACGGUCACCACCAUGAAACCUACAGCGGCAUCUAAUACAACAACACCAGGGAUGGUCUCAACAAAUAUGACUUCUACCACCUUAAAGUCUACACCCAAAACAACAAGUGUUUCACAGAACACAUCUCAGAUAUCAACAUCCACAAUGACCGUAACCCACAAUAGUUCAGUGACAUCUGCUGCUUCAUCAGUAACAAUCACAACAACUAUGCAUUCUGAAGCAAAGAAAGGAUCAAAAUUUGAUACUGGGAGCUUUGUUGGUGGUAUUGUAUUAACGCUGGGAGUUUUAUCUAUUCUUUACAUUGGAUGC
rnacentral:lncRNA from 1 species